rnacentral:rRNA from 1 species
UACGAAGGGGGCUAGCGUUGCUCGGAUUUACUGGGCGUAAAGGGCGCGUAGGCGGACAGUUUAGUCAGAGGUGAAAGCCCAGGGCUCAACCUUGGAAGUGCCUUUGAUACUGGCUGGCUUGAGUACGGGAGAGGUGAGUGGAACUCCGAGUGUAGAGGUGAAAUUCGUAGAUAUUCGGAAGAACACCAGUGGCGAAGGCGACUCACUGGCCCGUUACUGACGCUGAGGCGCGAAAGCGUGGGGAGCAAACAGG